ACACUUCCCAUCUGUCCCCAGU
rnacentral:miRNA from 1 species